rnacentral:rRNA from 1 species
GACGAACGCUGGCGGCGUGCUUAACACAUGCAAGUCGAACGGUAAGGCCCUUCGGGGUACACGAGUGGCGAACGGGUGAGUAACACGUGGGUGAUCUGCCCUGCACUUCGGGAUAAGCCUGGGAAACUGGGUCUAAUACCGGAUAGGACCACUGCCUGCAUGGGUGGUGGUGGAAAGCUUUUGCGGUGUGGGAUGGGCCCGCGGCCUAUCAGCUUGUUGGUGGGGUGAUGGCCUACCAAGGCGACGACGGGUAGCCGGCCUGGGAGGGUGACCGGGCCGAAUGGGACUGAGAUACGGCCCAGAGUCCUACGGGAGGCAGCAGUGGGGAAGAUUGCACAAUGGGCGAAAGCCUGAUGCAGCGACGCCGCGUGAGGGAUGACGGCCUUCGGGUUGUAAACCUCUUUCAGCACCGACGAAGCGCAAGUGACGGUAGGUGCAGAAGAAGGACCGGCCAACUACGUGCCAGCGGCCGCGGUAA